rnacentral:rRNA from 1 species
UACGUAGGGUGCGAGCGUUGUCCGGAAUUAUUGGGCGUAAAGAGCUCGUAGGCGGUCUGUCGCGUCGAUCGUGAAAACUUGGGGCUUAACCCUGAGCUUGCGGUCGAUACGGGCAUGACUGGAGUUCGGGAGGGGAGACUGGAAUUCCUGGUGUAGCGGUGAAAUGCGCAGAUAUCAGGAGGAACACCGGUGGCGAAGGCGGGUCUCUGGGCCGAUACUGACGCUGAGGAGCGAAAGCGUGGGGAGCGAACAGG